UACAGAGGUCUCAAGCGUUGUUCGGAUUCAUUGGGCGUAAAGGGUGCGUAGGCGGCGCGGUAAGUCGGGUGUGAAAUCUCGGGGCUUAACUCCGAAACUGCAUUCGAUACUGCUGUGCUUGAGGACUGGAGAGGAGACUGGAAUUUACGGUGUAGCGGUGAAAUGCGUAGAUAUCGUAAGGAAGACCAGUGGCGAAGGCGGGUCUCUGGACAGUUCCUGACGCUGAGGCGCGAAAGCGUGGGGAGCAAACAGG
rnacentral:rRNA from 1 species